GACGAACGCUGGCGGCGUGCUUAACACAUGCAAGUCGAGCGAUGAAGCUGGAGCUUGCUCCGGUGGAUUAGUGGCGAACGGGUGAGUAACACGUGAGCAAUCUGCCCUUCACUCUGGGAUAACUGCGGGAAACUGUAGCUAAUACCGGAUACGAGACCUUGGGGCAUCCCAGGGUCUGGAAAGAAUUUCGGUGAAGGAUGAGCUCGCGGCCUAUCAGCUAGUUGGUGAGGUAAUGGCUCACCAAGGUGACGACGGGUAGCCGGCCUGAGAGGGUGACCGGCCACACUGGGACUGAGACACGGCCCAGACUCCUACGGGAGGCAGCAGUGGGGAAUAUUGCACAAUGGGCGAAAGCCUGAUGCAGCAACGCCGCGUGAGGGAUGAAGGCCUUCGGGUUGUAAACCUCUUUUAGUAGGGAAGAAGCGCAAGUGACGGUACCUACAGAAAAAGCACCGGCUAACUACGUGCCAGCCGCCGCAGUAA
rnacentral:rRNA from 1 species